CAAUUCCGUCACCCAAAUGCAGCAUGAUUUUUUUUCUACCAAAUUUAACAUUCAAAUGCAGCCUGAAUUUUUCUCCCAGAUUUGACAUGCAUAUUUUGAUGAAACCUGUUUACGGUGGGCUUGAUCCCAAAAAUUUGUAUCCUGGAUGAAUGUUAUAUCACGAUUCAUCAAACAUGUGAAUAUUUGUUUCGGAUUCCGGUCCAAUUGGAAAUCCAAGAUGCUGGCUUCCAUGUUCAGCCACAAAAGAGGAGACCGUGGAAACAAAAUCUGUUAAAUACAGUGUUUGUUUUCCCCUCCAGAAGGGGAUAAUCAUGGAACUUGCAGCGAGAACGUAAAAAAGUUUUGACAGAGUCUUGCGGCUCCUGCCUCUUGGAGUUUCUUGGCAAAAAAGGUCAUGGCGUUGUAUAAUUUUACCUUCUCCUAACAGCUAUAGUUGUUCACUUCACUAGUUUGAGGAAACCCAUGAGCAAAUAGUCAAUAUGAACGCGAUCCGGAAAAAAGGAAAUCCAUAAUCGACAAAAAGGAGACGGGUGUUUUUACUGAGAAAAAAGCGCUUGCGUUUGGCUUUAGAGUUGGUAGAGUGACGAUCCCAACAAUUCCUGUGGACUAGAUUCCUUCAUGUCAAUACGAAUUGCUGCCUCGUUCUGAUGCUGCUGUUUUGUGGCCCAAUCAUCAUCAUCACCAUCACCGGAUGGCACUCAUAUUCCGGAAAGUCUGGAGCAGUAUGGUGGUCGGGCGGUCGAAUGCCCACGACUCAAUGGAACCGCAGCUACAAUCCCUGAGCCCACUGCAUCAGCUGCCGCUAGAUGUCAUCUUGCUCGUCUUCAAAUUCCUUGGUCCCAAGGAAGCAGCCAGGGCCUGCCUCGUGUGCAGGAUGUGGAGGGCCAUGAUCACCGACAAUCAAUUGUGGAUGUUCUUCCUUCAGAACUGCAGGGAAUCGUGGGAAACGAUUCUUUUUCAAGAGACCAUCUUGAGAUCGGGCUACUCACUUGGGUCGAGUCCUAGUUCUUUUCAUGAAUUGCCACUUAUGCAAAUCUAUGGGCAACGGGCAGAACCAUCUGGAGCCAUAAUUAUCGACUGUGGAUCAGGAUACUGCAAAUAUGGUUGGAGCAAAUAUCCAUGCCCAUCUGCACGAGCAGCUACUUUUAUGGAAUUUGGCAACAUGGAGUCCCCGACAUAUUCAGCACUCAGACAUUUCUUUUCAACAAUCUACGCUAGCCUUUCAGGAAGAUGCCAUACUCAGGAUAUGAAUCGAAUGCAGGUCAAGCCAUUGGUUCGACCAAUUGUUGUAUCCACUCCCAUUUGCCACUGUGAUGAUACUGAUUCUGCCAAUGCAGCUAGAAGACAGAUGCUGCAGACCAUGUAUUCAGUCUUGUUUGAUAUGAACGUACCUGCUGUUUGUGCUAUUGAUCAGGCAGUGUUGGCUUUAUAUGCAGCAAGAUGCACUUCUGGGGUUGUUAUUAACAUUGGUUUCCAGAACACCUCAAUUGUUCCAAUCUUACAUGGUAGAGUGAUGCGUGAAAUUGGGAUUGAAGUAAUUGGACAAGGAGCAUUGAGGCUAACAAGUUUCCUUGCUGAGCAGAUUCGCCAGAGGGGUAUAGCUUGUGGUUCAAUGUAUACAGUACGCACACUGAAAGAGAACCUGUGCUAUGUUGCUCUGGAUUAUGAAGCAGAGCUAUGUAAAGACACUUCAGCUUCAUUAGAAGUUCCAGGGGAGGGGUUGUUUAUGCUCUCAAAAGAGCGGUUUCAAACAGGGGAACUGCUUUUCCGGCCACGUAAUGGGGGAAUGCGUGCAAUGGGAUUGCAUCAAGCCGUAGCACUUUGCAUGGAGCAUUGUGUUGCUUAUGAUAAGGGAGCAUCAGAUGAUGGAUGGUACAAGACUAUUGUUCUGGCAGGUGGAACUUCAUGUCUGCCUGGGCUUCCAGGUAAUAUAGCUUUUUGGUCAAUUUUGCUAUCCUUCCAAGACUAUUGUUCUGGCAGGUGGAACUUCAUGUCUGCCUGGGCUUCCAGAGAGAUUAGAGAAAGAGCUGUUUGAACUUCUGCCACCGUCUAUUGCAGAAGGCCUGAAGGUCUUACCCCCUCCAUAUGGUGCUGAAUCUGCAUGGUUUGGAGCUAAGAUUGUUAGCAAUGUAAGCACGUUCCGUGAAGCAUGGUGCAUCAACAAAAAGCAAUUCCGACAGCAGUUCCACAAUAGGUUCCUGUAAUAACAAGGAAUAUUGAUUCCUGUAAUACUGAGGAAUGUCAUGCAGCUAGUUGAUUUUUAACCUAGCUUUUCAGGCAUAGUUUCCACUUUCAAGGCAGGAGACAAAAGAUUGACAUCCUUGCUAUAGGUUUGGAAACGUUGGAGAAAGAUGGUCGGAGUCAGGCCCAUUUAUUUAGCAUGUGAAAAGCGUAUCUCCUUUCACAUCAAUGGGGUUCAUAACAUCAUAAUGUACUAGAGCUAUCAAUUUUUAACAGGGCAGAACAUUUGGUAUUGAAGAACAGGGGCGUGGAAGAGAGAGAUGUAUAGCUUGUUUCUGUAUGACGACUGAACCCAUUUAUUUAGUGUUUAAAGUCGGAUGUACAUAUACAUGUCAUACCAAUUGUACUUUUCUCAGAACCCAAGGGAGUUGUUUGUCAUUCCUUGCAUUUAA